UACAGAGGAUGCAAGCGUUAUCCGGAAUGAUUGGGCGUAAAGCGUCUGUAGGUGGCUUUUUAAGUCCGCCGUCAAAUCCCAGGGCUCAACUCUGGACAGGCGGUGGAAACUACCAAGCUGGAGUACGGUAGGGGCAGAGGGAAUUUCCGGUGGAGCGGUGAAAUGCGUAGAGAUCCGGAGGAACCCCAGAGGCGAAGGCGGCGUCCUGGCUCGCAUCUGACGCUCAGACACGACAGCAUGGGGAGCGAACGGG
rnacentral:rRNA from 1 species